GACGAACGCUGGCGGCGCGCUUAACACAUGCAAGUCGAGCGAAGCGGCGGACGGGUGAGUAACACGUGAGUAACCUGCCUUUGACAUUGGGAUAGCCUCGGGAAACUGGGAUUAAUACCAAAUGGUCAAAGAUGGACUCGCGGCUGAUUAGCUAGUUGGUGAGGUAACGGCCCACCAAGGCGACGAUCAGUAGCCGGCCUGAGAGGGUGACCGGCCACAUUGGAACUGAGACACGGUCCAAACUCUACGGGAGGCAGCAGUGGGGAAUAUUGCACAAUGGGGGAAACCCUGAUGCAGCGACGCCGCGUGAGCGAAGAAGGCCUUCGGGUCGUAAAGCUCUUUUAUGAGGGAAGCGGUACCUCAAGAAAAAGCCCCGGCUAACUACGUGCCAGCAGCCGCGGUAAUAC
rnacentral:rRNA from 1 species